GAUUGCAAGACAUACAGGUCGAGCAAGGAUGAAAAUCGGACUUAGUGAUCCGGUGGUUCUGCGUGGACGGGCCAUCGCUCAACGGAUAAAAGCUACCCUGGGGAUAACAGGCUUAUCUCCCCCAAGAGUCCACAUCGACGGGGAGGUUUGGCACCUCGAUGUCGGCUCAUCACCUCCUGGGGCUGUAGUAGGUCCCAAGGGUUGGGCUGUUCGCCCAUUAAAGUGGUACGCGAGCUGGGUUCAGAACGUCGUCAGACAGUUCGGUCCCUAUCCGUCGCUGGCGUAGGAAAUUUGAGAAGACCUGUCCUUAGUACGAGAGGACAGGGAUGGACGUACCUCUGGUGUACCAGUUGUUCUGCCAAGGGCAUGGCUGGGUAGCUAUGUACGGAAUGGAUAAGCGCUGACAGCAUCUAAGCGCGAAGCCAACUUCAAGAUAAGAAAUCCCCCCGCAAGGGUAAGACCCCAGAAAGACUAUCUGGGUGAUAGGUCGAAGGUGUAAGAGCAGCAAUGUAUUUAGC
rnacentral:rRNA from 1 species